rnacentral:rRNA from 1 species
GUUAUAUGGUCAAGUGAAGAAGCGCAUACGGUGGAUGCCUUGGCAGUCAGAGGCGAUGAAAGACGUGGUAGCCUGCGAAAAGCUUCGGGGAGUCGGCAAACAGACUUUGAUCCGGAGAUCUCUGAAUGGGGGAACCCACCUAGGAUAACCUAGGUAUCUUGUACUGAAUCCAUAGGUGCAAGAGGCGAACCAGGGGAACUGAAACAUCUAAGUACCCUGAGGAAAAGAAAUCAACCGAGAUUCCCUUAGUAGUGGCGAGCGAACGGGGAUUAGCCCUUAAGCUUCAUUGAUUUUAGCGGAACGCUCUGGAAAGUGCGGCCAUAGUGGGUGAUAGCCCCGUACGCGAAAGGAUCUUUGAAGUGAAAUCGAGUAGGACGGAGCACGAGAAACUUUGUCUGAACAUGGGGGACCAUCCUCCAAGGCUAAAUACUACUGACUGACCGAUAGUGAACCAGUACCGUGAGGGAAAGGCGAAAAGAACCCCGGAGAGGGGAGUGAAAUAGAACCUGAAACCGUAUGCGUACAAGCAGUGGGAGCCUACUUGUUAGGUGACUGCGUACCUUUUGUAUAAUGGGUCAGCGACUUAUAUUCAGUGGCAAGCUUAACCGUAUAGGGUAGGCGUAGCGAAAGCGAGUCUUAAUAGGGCGUUUAGUCGCUGGGUAUAGACCCGAAACCGGGCGAUCUAUCCAUGAGCAGGUUGAAGGUUAGGUAACACUGACUGGAGGACCGAACCCACUCCCGUUGAAAAGGUAGGGGAUGACUUGUGGAUCGGAGUGAAAGGCUAAUCAAGCUCGGAGAUAGCUGGUUCUCCUCGAAAGCUAUUUAGGUAGCGCCUCAUGUAUCACUCUGGGGGGUAGAGCACUGUUUCGGCUAGGGGGUCAUCCCGACUUACCAAACCGAUGCAAACUCCGAAUACCCAGAAGUGCCGAGCAUGGGAGACACACGGCGGGUGCUAACGUCCGUCGUGAAAAGGGAAACAACCCAGACCGCCAGCUAAGGUCCCAAAGUUGUGGUUAAGUGGUAAACGAUGUGGGAAGGCUUAGACAGCUAGGAGGUUGGCUUAGAAGCAGCCACCCUUUAAAGAAAGCGUAAUAGCUCACUAGUCGAGUCGGCCUGCGCGGAAGAUGUAACGGGGCUCAAACCACACACCGAAGCUGCGGGUGUCACGUAAGUGACGCGGUAGAGGAGCGUUCUGUAAGCCUGUGAAGGUGAGUUGAGAAGCUUGCUGGAGGUAUCAGAAGUGCGAAUGCUGACAUGAGUAACGACAAUGGGUGUGAAAAACACCCACGCCGAAAGACCAAGGGUUCCUGCGCAACGUUAAUCGACGCAGGGUUAGUCGGUUCCUAAGGCGAGGCUGAAAAGCGUAGUCGAUGGGAAACAGGUUAAUAUUCCUGUACUUCUGGUUACUGCGAUGGAGGGACGGAGAAGGCUAGGCCAGCUUGGCGUUGGUUGUCCAAGUUUAAGGUGGUAGGCUGAAAUCUUAGGUAAAUCCGGGGUUUCAAGGCCGAGAGCUGAUGACGAGUCGUCUUUUAGAUGACGAAGUGGUUGAUGCCAUGCUUCCAAGAAAAGCUUCUAAGCUUCAGGUAACCAGGAACCGUACCCCAAACCGACACAGGUGGUCGGGUAGAGAAUACCAAGGCGCUUGAGAGAACUCGGGUGAAGGAACUAGGCAAAAUGGCACCGUAACUUCGGGAGAAGGUGCGCCGGCUAGGGUGAAGGAUUUACUCCGUAAGCUCUGGCUGGUCGAAGAUACCAGGCCGCUGCGACUGUUUAUUAAAAACACAGCACUCUGCAAACACGAAAGUGGACGUAUAGGGUGUGACGCCUGCCCGGUGCCGGAAGGUUAAUUGAUGGGGUUAGCGCAAGCGAAGCUCUUGAUCGAAGCCCCGGUAAACGGCGGCCGUAACUAUAACGGUCCUAAGGUAGCGAAAUUCCUUGUCGGGUAAGUUCCGACCUGCACGAAUGGCGUAACGAUGGCGGCGCUGUCUCCACCCGAGACUCAGUGAAAUUGAAAUCGCUGUGAAGAUGCAGUGUAUCCGCGGCUAGACGGAAAGACCCCGUGAACCUUUACUGUAGCUUUGCACUGGACUUUGAGCCUGCUUGUGUAGGAUAGGUGGGAGGCUUUGAAGCGUGGACGCCAGUUCGCGUGGAGCCAUCCUUGAAAUACCACCCUGGCAUGCUUGAGGUUCUAACUCUGGUCCGUAAUCCGGAUCGAGGACAGUGUAUGGUGGGCAGUUUGACUGGGGCGGUCUCCUCCUAAAGAGUAACGGAGGAGUACGAAGGUGCGCUCAGACCGGUCGGAAAUCGGUCGUAGAGUAUAAAGGCAAAAGCGCGCUUGACUGCGAGACAGACACGUCGAGCAGGUACGAAAGUAGGUCUUAGUGAUCCGGUGGUUCUGUAUGGAAGGGCCAUCGCUCAACGGAUAAAAGGUACUCCGGGGAUAACAGGCUGAUACCGCCCAAGAGUUCAUAUCGACGGCGGUGUUUGGCACCUCGAUGUCGGCUCAUCACAUCCUGGGGCUGAAGCCGGUCCCAAGGGUAUGGCUGUUCGCCAUUUAAAGUGGUACGCGAGCUGGGUUUAGAACGUCGUGAGACAGUUCGGUCCCUAUCUGCCGUGGACGUUUGAGAUUUGAGAGGGGCUGCUCCUAGUACGAGAGGACCGGAGUGGACGAACCUCUGGUGUUCCGGUUGUCACGCCAGUGGCAUUGCCGGGUAGCUAUGUUCGGAAAAGAUAACCGCUGAAAGCAUCUAAGCGGGAAACUUGCCUCAAGAUGAGAUCUCACUGGGAACUUGAUUCCCCUGAAGGGCCGUCGAAGACUACGACGUUGAUAGGCUGGGUGUGUAAGCGUUGUGAGGCGUUGAGCUAACCAGUACUAAUUGCCCGUGAGGCUUGACCAUAUAACACCCAAACA